UGAUGGCAAGUUUGGCAUGUUGAGUACAACCUUUAGUCACUAAUAGUGAUGGUUGACUUAAACAAAUUAAUUGCUACUCUAGACAAAUUGAGGAAAAGAAAUAACAUAAAUAUCCUUUAAUUCACACUCAUUCAUAAGCUUUCUUCCUCAUUUAGGGGAAAAAAAGAAUAUGGAGAGCUUUGAAAGCAUUCACAAAUAAGACUAAGCAAAAUUACAGAAUGAAUUGCCUUGGUCUACAUAACAAAAGAGAAUUGUAUGUAUGACAAAAAGAAUACUGUCACAAAUAUUAACUUAAUAAAUGACUUACUUUUGAGGCAUCAAGAACCAUCAACACAAUGUCCGAUGACUUCGCAACAGCAAUAACCUGAAAAGGUAAACUACUAAUUACAUCCCAUUUUCCUAAGCUUAGAAAAAUCAACAGAAAAAUAGCAUCUUAUUUAAUUGAAAGAAAAAAAACUAGUUAACUGUCCAAAUGAAAUUUGCAAAACAUCACUCAUUUACUCCUUUUCAAACUAUUGAUGGCUAUUUAUUUCAUUGAUCCAAAAGAUGAUCGAGUUGUCAGCAGCAUGGCUUUCAUGACAUGCACUCUGUAAGUGGAGUUUAGAAUUGUUGCUAAAAAUCAAAGGAAAAAGACAUAUUGAAAAGCACACAGAGAACUCACACAAAGAAAUAGGUGCAGGGAAUUUUUGUAGUAUCAAUAGGUAAAUUCAAAGGCUGAACUUUCAGUUUAUUACUGUUGCACAAAUUUAAGUAUGAUUCAGGUGCAGUAUACAACCACAUCCUGCAUAAGUGGAGCAGAUGAACAGUAGGCCUUUUACCUUAUCAACUUGCAGCAAGAGUUAAUGGGGUCAUCUAAGUUUUGCAAAAAAGUUCUUAGGAUAUACUUUGACAUAUUAGUAUUUUUCUUUGGCAGACGGAAAUCUUGGAGGGACAGUAAACACAAUGAUCAAGUUGUUCAUUAAUGUGCACUGCAAUAUUAACUUCUCUAAGCCACUGAUAAGGGACAGAUGGUCNNNNNNNNNNNNNNNNNNNNNNNNNNNNNNNNNNNNNNNNNNNNNNNNNNNNNNNNNNNNNNNNNAUGUAAUUAGGAGUAAUCAAUACAGAAGUGAAAAAAGGUAAACAGGUCUUUUAACAAUUUUAAUAUAGUUGGGAUCGUAUAGUAAGUUGCAGGUAUAAAAACUUACAAGCAUUGUACUCCAUCAAACCUCUACUGUAGUUUUCUUGGCAAACUGUUAGGGAUAUUAACGCUUCCUCCAAUUUAACUUAUCGAAGAUGAAAAAAUAUGAAUGGAAAAACAGCCUGUAUUGCCAGGUUAUGGAAAAUAAAAUAAAGCAAUUUAGGCAAUAUACAUAAGUAGCAAUACCUGCCUACCACGACCCUUGCCUUCUGAAGCCCCUUCAAUGAUUCCAGGAAGGUCAAGAAGCUGAAUUUUGGCAUCAUUGUAGUGAAUAAUCCCAGGGAUACAAGUAAGUGUCGUGAACUCAUAUGAUGCAGCUUCAGAGUGUGUUCCUGUUAGUAGAGUUAAAAGUGUUGACUUGCCCACGCUGUCAACAAGAAAGACAUAUAAAUGAAUAGUUUACACUUAGAAGUCAUAAUACAUUAAAAAUAACAUUAUUUUGGCAUUUAAGGUUUUUAUAUCUAACCUUUUAUAAAGAAAUGGAUGACAAGCCAAGAGAAAGAAAAGCAUAACCAAGUAAAGAUGAAAUACAAGAUAAUAUAGUUAAAUUAUUGCAAUGUCACUCUCUUUAGGGUGAAUUGUUUUGAUAGUUAGUCACUGAUAUUCUCAUCAGAAAUCUUGUAUCUCAGGUGUUGAUGAUGCUUGUACAGUCUCUACUUGUUUUCAAGGGGACAAUGGAAAGAUCGGCAGCAGCACAAAACCUUAAGGCAAUGCAAUUGGAACCAUAUACUCAUGGUCAUAACCAACAAGAGUUACUCAACUAUUUGAUGCCACUUUGACAAAAUAAAUAUUUCAUACUUGUUCCUAUCCUGGACUAGAUCAGCUAUCAACAAAAAGUUUCUUAUACUGUUCUUACAACUUCCAAGCAGAUUUGCUUAAAUAUUCCCCUCCUCUAGCUGACUCUUGCAUUUAAAGAAAACCCCUUCUUUGAGAGUGCCCAUUUGUCUCAAGAAUUUAAAUCACUUUCAGAGGAUGUUCCAAUCCAUCUGUGGGACACAAUAUUUCAGCCCUUUUAUUUUGUUCUUCACUGGAUAGAAACCAAAAUCAAAUACUACCAAUUAUUAAGUGUUUGCAUUUUGAGUCAUGGGUACAAGUAUGUCUAAAACACUUGCACAUCUCGCACAUGUCCUACCAUAACGACAUAUCAACUAUAAGUACAUUGUAUGUCAAAUUAACAAUAUUGAAAUGAUGAAUUAUGUUUGAUUGAAAUAAUUUGGUCAAUCUAAUAUGAAUAUCUAAUAACUAAUAAUAUCUCCUUUCCGACCUGACCAUUAGUGAUUUAAGUCACAAGCACUUUGCACAUCAAUGGUGUAAGCAUAUAUUUUAAAUUUAUAAUUUCAUGGGUCCAGGAGAGCAGGGAUAGAAAUAGAGUUUCUACAGACCACAUAUUCAUGCAUAUAUACAUUAUGAAUUGUAUUGCAGUGCAUGUUGUAUUUAUAGCUAGAGAUACAUGCAGCUUAUAUUACAAACACCAUUUAUUACAAACUCCAAUGCAUGCACCUCAUCACUCAUCCACCUACGUGUUAAAUGAUCUUACAGCACCAAAAGUCUCAGUUUAAACUCAGCAUGCAGUGGUUCUGAAAAUGAAGUCUUGUGCCAACUUAAUCAAGUGCAUAGCAGGUAUUCAAGACACAAGGUCAAAAUAACAAACAAGAAAGACUAUGAGCAUUUCAAAAAAGCUAAAGUUUCCCAAUUGAUUCAGUAGUGAAUCUUACUUUUAAUUGUUCUCAGAAAAAGCAUAGAAGUCAAUGGACACAGGAAUUGACAAACCUUGGAAAUCCAAUCAAUGCAACACGACCAUGGCCAUACUUUGUCACUUCAAAACCCUCUCCAGAUCCACUAGAACCCUGAUUGACAUACAUUUAAGGUUUAAGGUGAUACCCGAUAUGAACUCAACAAACAUAAACAGGAGAAGAAGCAUGUAAAACAAUAUAAGUAAUAUGUUUGCAAACAUAAGUAGUAUACACAAAUAAAUCUAAACCAUAGCCCAAAAAGGCCAUCAAUCCCCUAUAAUGAUACCAAAGCCAAAAAAAUAACCACCUUAAUUACAUUACUAGGAAAAACAUCAAAUCCCAAGAAGAGGCACCAUGAAGUACGUACUAGUUAUUACCAGUUUGGUUAACUAAAGCACAUAAAUGUAGUUAGGUCAAACCUAUCCAGCUGAGCAGCCCCAAGAGGUCAGAGAAAACAGUCCGAUAAUAACUAAGCAUACACCAUGGAGCACUUCUUCUUGGUGGAGGUGAUGGAUCAGAAAACUUUAAAAGGGUCCAUCAUCAUCCUGUGGAACCCACCACCACACCCUCCAUUGUAUCACCCACAAGCACGAUCUCUAAAACUACCCCAUUGAUAUAUUUGUCCCCUAUCAAAACUAAAUCUUACUCCUACCACCUCAUCUAUAAAAGCCACUAACAAGCCGACCAAGAAGAUUUUUAUAUCAAAGAGUUCUGCAGAACAAGUGGACACCCAUAGUUUAUUUUUACCUACUGUAAACACAUUUUUUUAUCUUCUGUCAUUCAACAUAAUAACUAAGUCCCUCGUGCAUAUGAGGGUUAUGAAGAAAAAGGGAAAAGAGUUUAGAAAAAUCAAUUACCAUACACAGGGUAGCAGUUUAAAAGAAUAAUAUAGAUGUACAAAAAGAAACAAAAAUCAAUUGUUCAGCCACUUAACAAAAUGUUCAUGACUGUAAGUUCAAAGAGUUUAAAAAACACUAGCGAUGGCCAAGCACAAGAGCAAUUACAAAAGGUCACUAUAAUGAAUGCAAGUCAUAAAUACCUUAUGGUUAUGAAAUAGAGUAUUAUAUAUCGUACAGCAAUUCUUGCACAGAAACAACCAGCAAACAUUUUGUCUAUGGAUAUGUACCUUAGCUAGGAAAGGGAAAGAUAUAUACCUUUGGAGGCUCCAACAACUGUGUUCUUAAUUUUGCUAUCUUUGCCUUCAGUUGCCCAAGAUGAUACUCUAUAUAGAAGGGGAGAAAAAGAAAGAAAGUUAGUUGAUCAGUUGCCAUAUAAAAUUUUUGCAAGAGAUAAAGUUUGAAAAUAAUAAAAAAAAAAUCUUAAACCAUAACAAACAUUAUACAUGUAUGCGUAAUAGUACUUUAUCUAGAAUAAAUCAAUAGUACAAGAUAAAAAUGUUAUAUAAGCCUACAUUAAAUCACUAGAAGAAUGAAAAGUCGGUAAGAUAAUUUGCAUAAACUCAAUCAAGGCAAGGACAUAAUUCUUUUAAAUGUUGAAGACAAGGUAACUACAGAAUCAGGGGAGAUUAGUAUCGGAAUCCAAAGAAUGCAUAUGAAUGCUUCCCCACAGGAAACAAGGAAGAUGGUUUGACAACCAUUACUUCAAAGGGUUAGCCCAGCUCAUUUGCAUUCAUGUCGUAUUUAUGAAAUUGAUCAAGGAACCAAAAUCUAAUGAACUCAAUCAACGCCUCAUUUUUGCCAUGGCUGAAAUGACCCAUUGGUUUGAGAUGCAACUGUACUGUGCUAGUGCCUGGCCAACAUGCCACCAGCCCACAAACCUAAUCCUUGAUCCAGAUACAUGAUUUGUUUACUUUUAGUAUAUCUUGCAGCUUUUAUCUAAUAGUCCUAGAAAGAGAAUACUAAUAUUUAGAAGAAAAAUAAAGCAAGCAUGAAUACAAACUCUCAUGCACAAUAAUCAAGCUGAUCUCUAAACACAUCUUCAUCUGUUGACUACCAAAAAUUUUUGAAUAUAUCAAACCAGACAUCUUGUUUACCAGGGCUAUCCAGUCGAGUCCUUGCAUAAUGUUUAAUCACAACAUCAUAUAUGCAUUUAUGCAGUGCCAAAGCUUAGGGUCAUAAUAAUCCUCAAAUUUUGUUUUUGUAUCCAUAUAUGUAUUUUCCUAGAACAAUUUGAAUUUAUUCACCACAAAUUGAUAAUUCCAACAUUGCAAAGACAAUAUAUAACUAAGGGGAAAUCAAAUGCAGUAAUGAACAACAUUAUUCAUAUACAAUAAGUGAUGGAAGAACUGAAUGAUAUCAUUGUAUAAUAUGGACACGGCCACUUACCAGAAACCUAAGGCGUAUUAGCUAUGCAUCUAUAACUGAUCAUAAACUUAAUAAAUAUUCUUUAUAUCAUGAAACUGCGAUAUGAAUGUGUUAGAAUUAAAAUCAUAACAGAUGUGAAGAGAACCUGUAGCUUUAUUUUUUUGUGUCCGUGCCAUCUCAGCCUCAAUCUCCUUAAUCUUCUCAAUAAUACCCAUCUUUUUUUGACUGAAUAUAGCACCUGCACUGCAAUUUUUUUCUUAAAAAAAAGUCUCAGUUUUGCCUCCCAAUUGCAAAAACAAAAAGCACUAGCAUGACAAUUUUGCAUGGAAAAACAUUAUGAGGAUAAUUUCAACCACAAAAGUGAUCCCAAUGGUCUAAUUCUAGAAAAGCCUAACAAAAUGACCAAAAUAACAAGAAAGAAUAAAUUCUCUCACAUACAUACACAUUUAAACAUGCAUAAAGCAAAAGCCACCAGCUCAGAGCUCAGAAAACUUUGCAUGAGCAAGUAAAUGGAAUCAUACCAAGGCUGAUGUAAACAAUUCUACUCUCAGUACCAAUGGUUUGCUUCAUUACCAACAAACCACUUAAAUAUGGAAAUAAAUCAAAAUAAAUAAUCAAAAGACUAAGAUGCCAUUUGGCAUCAGUUUUAUUUUUUCUAUUUUCAAAAUAGAAAAAAAGCAAUCCUAUUUCUAUUUUUUAUUUUUAAAAAAUAUAAACAUAUUCGGUAUUAUUAGUUAGUUUUCAAAAACAAGCAUGGUAAUCAUUGUGGAGACUAUAGUAAUUGCAGCAAAGGCAAUUGGCAGUGAUGGAGUUGAUGGCAGGUCUGGUGGCAAUACAACAAAGAUGACAAUGAUGGCAAAUUCAGCCAAAAUGAACUAGCUUUGAUUUUUAAAUAUAAAAAACAAGAAAUAAAAAUGAUACCAACUAGGUCCUAAGAAAAUCAAAUAUUGUAGCAAUUGCUCGCCAUUUUUUCCAACAAAAAUAAAAAAAAUCUAGGCUUAAUGAUCCAAAUACCACCAGCAAGCACUCUGCCCACCAAUCGUACCUCAGGACCCAAUCAUCUAACCCAUUCAGCUCUUUUCUCACCUGCCUCGGUUAUUUCAACUCACAAAGAUACCACCUUGCCUUUCCAACCUCUUAGGUUACAGCAUUGUUUAGUCCUCUCCAACCAUUACUGCUCCUAAUUACUGUAAGUUCCCAAGAACUUCCUUUCUAAGCCCACUCAUUUCUCGUCCUUUCGUCCUUUCCUUUCCCUUCCUUCCCCCGCCCAACAACCAAGCAAGAUGGCAUGAAGACUCUCUAUGGACAGUACCCAUGUUCUUGAUAGAUCUAGAUACCAAUUCUACUAUCAGCGACAAAAGAACAAUCGAUUACAGAUCAUCGAGGUUUUUCCUUUGGCAUAAUUAAAACUAGCAACCAGUGAUAUGAGAAAAAUUAAGACGCGAAUCGAAUCAAAUUUUGUGUUUUUCGACAACACAACAAUCUGAAUUCAAGAAAAUAAAUCAAGAAAACCAAGAAACUUAUGGUAUACGAAUAUCAACAGGAUCUGAAUUCAAGAAACAAUUAAAGAAAGAAAUGAUCGUCGCGUUGCUGAUU
rnacentral:lncRNA from 1 species